rnacentral:rRNA from 1 species
AGGGUUUGAUCAUGGCUCAGGACGAACGCUGGCGGCGUGCUUAACACAUGCAAGUCGAACGGAGGAUGCGGGGAAGCUUGCUUUCCUGCAAACUUAGUGGCGGACGGGUGAGUAACGCGUGGAUAACCUGCCUGUAAGACUGGGAUAACACUGGGAAACCGGUGCUAAUACCGGAUAUACUGUAGAGUAGGCAUCUACUUUACAGGAAAAGAUUAACCUCUGCUUACAGAUGGAUCCGCGUCCCAUUAGCUAGCUGGUAGGGUAACGGCCUACCAGGGCGACGAUGGGUAGCCGGCCUGAGAGGGUGGUCGGCCACACUGGGACUGAGACACGGCCCAGACUCCUACGGGAGGCAGCAGUGGGGAAUCUUGCGCAAUGGGCGAAAGCCUGACGCAGCGACGCCGCGUGGGUGACGAAGGCCUUCGGGUCGUAAAACCCUGUUGCAGGGGACGAAGGAAGUGACGGUACCCUGCCAGAAAGCCCCGGCUAACUACGUGCCAGCAGCCGCGGUAAUUC